GGGGGUGGAUUGGGCCUGGUGGCCUGCGCGGUCUUCAAAACCGUCGGGAGACGCCUUCGGCGGCUCCGGUGGGUUCGAUUCCCACACGCUCCCGCCA
rnacentral:tRNA from 1 species